rnacentral:lncRNA from 1 species
AACUACAGACGUCUCUGGUGGGUCCCUGGUCCCGGCCCAUUCUGUGUCUGUUCUAAGCCGCUGGAGAGCUGGAGAUCAGGACUGCACUGGGUACCUGAGGCAAGAGAAAAGCUGUAACGGAAGGAGUGAAGAAGAGGGAAAAAAACGGGAUGAGGAAACAAGGGGCAGAGAGGAAGCAAACAAAAAUCAAUAAUAGAAGUUUAGCAGCAGAGAUCACCUAGGUGGUUCAACCACUCACUUUUUUGAAGAGCAGGAGAAAAGAAGCGAGAAAAAUAAAAGAGAGAAUAAAGCUAA